rnacentral:lncRNA from 1 species
AGCCUCCUAAGCCACUGAGAUUACAGGCAUGCACCACCAUGCCCAGCUCUUGGGAAUGAUGUUGACCAAAUUAUAUGGUUAUAUUGUGUGUGCAUACAAAUAUGUAACAACAAAUUCCACCGUUAUAUAUAAUGAUCAUGCACCAACAAAAAUAUGGAAAAAAAGGAUUUCUGUUCUUCAAAAGACAUCAUAUGCAGUACAGAAAGGUGGGGAAGGGAGAGGAGGAUAGCUGUACAAUGCAGAAACCUGACAACACUCCCUCAGUCAGGAGAUCAAGGUCAACAUCAGCAGUGAUAAACCACAUUGAUAGUAUGUAUCCGGAUAUGAUAUGAUGCUUCACCUGUGUGGUCUUCCACCCCCAUGAGAGAAGUAUGGGACAAAUUCUAGUAGAGGAGCUUUCUACAAAACACCUGAUCACCACCCUUCAAAACUGUCAAUGUUGCCAAAGAUAAGGAAAGUCUAAGAAACUGUCACAGCCAAGAGAAGCCUAAAGAGAAAUGAUGAUGGAAUGUAAUGAGGUGUCCUGCUUGGGCUACUCCAACAGAAAAAAGGAAAUAUGAAUAAAGUAUGAACUUUAGUUAAUAGUAAUACAUCAAUAUUGGUUCAUUAGUUGUGACAAAUGGACCACACUGACGCUAAUAAUAGGGAAGGCUGGGUGUGAGGUAUGUGGGAAAUAUCUGUAUUGUAUUCUCGAUUUUUCUGUAAAUGUCAAACUGUUCUGAAAAAAAAAAAACACUAUAAAGUAAGUGAAAAUAU